AGCAGCAGCCGCGGUAAUACGUAGGGUGCGAGCGUUAAUCGGAAUUACUGGGCGUAAAGCGUGCGCAGGCGGUUGUGUAAGACAGGUGUGAAAGCCCCGGGCUUAACCUGGGAACUGCAUUUGAAGCUGGGCGACUAGAGUAUGAAAGAGGAAAGCGGAAUUUCCAGUGUAGCAGUGAAAUGCGUAGAUAUUGGAAGGAACACCGAUGGCGAAGGCAGCUUUCUGGGUCGAUACUGACGCUCAUGUGCGAAAGCGUGGGGAGCAAACAGGAUUAGAUACCCCGGUAGUCCCUGUCUCUUAUAA
rnacentral:rRNA from 1 species